rnacentral:misc_RNA from 1 species
AACGCACCUUGCGCUCCUUGGUAUUCCGAGGAGCAUGCCUGUUUGAGUGUCAUUAAAUUCUCAACCUCACCAACUUUGUUGUGUGAAGGCUUGGAUGUGGGGGUUGCAGGUCCGCACUCGUGUGGUCUGCUCCUCUAAAACGUAUUAGUGGGUUAGUCCCCUAAUCUAUUGGUGUGAUAAUUAUCUACGCCGUGGAUUUGGAAGGCUAUCAUAGACCUGCUUCUAACCGUCCUCUGGACAACCUUGACAAUUUUGACGUCAAAUCAGGUAAGACUACCCGCUGAACUUAA